GACGAACGCUGGCGGCGUGCUUAACACAUGCAAGUCGAGCGGUAAGGCCCUUCGGGGUAACGAGCGGCGAACGGGUGAGUAACACGUGGGUGAUCUGCCUUGCACUCUGGGAUAAGCCUGGGAAACUGGGUCUAAUACCGGAUAUGACCACUUCUCGCAUGGGUUGUGGUGGAAAGAUUUAUCGGUGCAAGAUGAGCCCGCGGCCUAUCAGCUUGUUGGUGGGGUAAUGGCCUACCAAGGCGACGACGGGUAGCCGGCCUGAGAGGGCGACCGGCCACACUGGGACUGAGACACGGCCCAGACUCCUACGGGAGGCAGCAGUGGGGAAUAUUGCACAAUGGGCGAAAGCCUGAUGCAGCGACGCCGCGUGAGGGAUGACGGCCUUCGGGUUGUAAACCUCUUUCGACUCCGACGAAGCGAAAGUGACGGUAGGAGUAUAAGAAGCACCGGCCAACUACGUUGCCAGCAGCCGCGGUAAUACGUAGGGUGCGAGCGUUGUCCGGAAUUACUGGGCGUAAAGAGCUUGUAGGCGGCUUGUCGCGUCGAUCGUGAAAACUCGGGGCUCAACCCCGAGCUUGCGGUCGAUACGGGCAGGCUUGAGUACUUCAGGGGAGACUGGAAUUCCUGGUGUAGCGGUGAAAUGCGCAGAUAUCAGGAGGAACACGGUGGCGAAGGCGGGUCUCUGGGAAGUAACUGACGCUGAGAAGCGAAAGCGUGGGUAGCGAACAGGAUUAGAUACCCUGGUAGUCCACGCCGUACACGGUGGGUACUAGGGUGUGGGUUUCCUUCCACGGGAUCCGUGCCGUAGCUAACGCAUUAAGUACCCCGCCUGGGGAGUACGGCCGCAAGGCUAAAACUCAAGGAAUUGACGGGGGCCCGCACAAGCGGCGGAGCAUGUGAUUAGUUCGAUGCACGCGAGACCUUACCUGGGUUUGACAUACACCGGAAACUUGCAGAGAUGUAGGCCCCCUUGUGGUCGGUGUACAGGUGGUGCAUGGCUGUCGUCAGCUCGUGUCGUGAGAUGUUGGGUUAAGUCCCGCAACGAGCGCAACCCUUAUCUUAUGUUGCCAGCGCGUAAUGGCGGGGACUCGUGAGAGACUGCCGGGGUCAACUCGGAGGAAGGUGGGGACGACGU
rnacentral:rRNA from 1 species